UGCCCAGCAACUCCUAUUCCUACCUCCUCGCGGUACCGGCCGGGGUACGAGCAACCAUAGGGAAGAUCGGGCGAUCAACCCUGGUGGGAACUUUGGUCAUAUGCUGAUAGAGAAGG
rfam:Aedes aegypti strain Liverpool supercont1.1036 genomic scaffold, whole genome shotgun sequence.